CCUACGGGUGGCAGCAGUGAGGAAUAUUGGUCAAUGGACGAGAGUCUGAACCAGCCAAGUAGCGUGAAGGAUGACUGCUCUAUGGGUUGUAAACUUCUUUUAUAUGGGAAUAAAGUGUUCCACGUGUGGGUAUUUGUAUGUACCAUAUGAAUAAGGAUCGGCUAACUCCGUGCCAGCAGCCGCGGUAAUACGGAGGAUCCGAGCGUUAUCCGGAUUUAUUGGGUUUAAAGGGAGCGUAGGUGGAUUGUUAAGUCAGUGGUGAAAGUUUGCGGCUCAACCGUAAAAUUGCAGUUGAAACUGGAAGUCUUGAGUACGGUAGAGGUAGGCGGAAUGCGUGGUGUAGCGGUGAAAUGCUUAGAUAUCACGAAGAACUCCGAUUGCGAAGGCAGCUCACUGGACUACAACUGACACUGAGGCUCGAAAGUGUGGGGAUCAAACAGGAUUAGAUACCCGAGUAGUC
rnacentral:rRNA from 1 species